rnacentral:RNase_P_RNA from 2 species
AGAGUCCGCUGGGCAGUCGCCGCCUUGUCUCUUAUGAGAUUAAGGGGGAGGAAAGUCCGGGCUCCAUAGGGCAGAGUGCCAGGUAACCCCUGGGGGGCGUGAGCCUACGGAAAGUGCAGCAGAGAGUAGACCGCCUAAGCAGGUCUUUCGAGAUUUGCCGGUAAGGGUGAAAGGGUGUGGUAAGAGCGCACCGCGUGGGUGGUAACAUUCCACGGCAUGGUAAACCCCACUUGGAGCAAGACCAAAUAGGAAUCCUUUUCGUGGCCCACGUUGGAUUCGGGUAGGUUGCUUGAGGUCUGUGGUGACGCAGACCCUAGAUGAAUGACUGUCCACGACAGAACCCGGCUUACAGGCGGACUCGAUUA